rnacentral:rRNA from 1 species
CUCGAUUCGUUAGAACAGCUUCCAUUGAGUCUCUGCACCUAUCCUUUUCCUUUGUAUUCUAGUUCGAGAACCCCUUGUUUUCUAAAACACGGAUUUGGCUCAGGAUUGCCCUUUUUUAAUUCCAGGGUUUCUCUGAAUUUGGAAGUUACCACUUAG